CCUACGGGUGACUGCAGUGAGGAAUAUUUGUCAAUGGACGCAAGUCUGAACCAGCCAUUCCGCGUGCAGGAUGACGGCUCUAUGAGUUGUAAACUGCUUUUGUACUAGGGUAAACCCCGAUACGUGUAUCGGGUUUAAAGUAUCUUACGAAUACGGAUCGGCUAACUCCGUGCCAGCAGCCGCGGUACUACGGAGGAUCCGCGCGUUCUCCGGAUGUAUUGGGUUUAAAGGGUGCGUAGGCGGUUUGAUAAGUUAGAGGUGAAAUGUCGGGGCUCAACCCCGAAACUGCCUCUAAUACUGUUGGACUAGAGAAUAGUUGCGGUAGGCGGAAUGUAUGGUGUAGCGGUGAAAUGCUUAGAGAUCAUACAGAACACCGAUUGCGAAGGCAGCUUACCAAACUAUAUCUGACGUUGAGGCACGAAAGCGUGGGUAGCAAACAGGAUUAGAUACCCCGGUAGUC
rnacentral:rRNA from 1 species